rnacentral:rRNA from 1 species
UACAGAGGGUGCAAGCGUUAAUCGGAAUUACUGGGCGUAAAGCGUGCGUAGACGGUUGCGUAAGUCAGAUGUGAAAGCCCCGGGCUCAACCUGGGAAUUGCAUUUGAGACUGCGUAGCUAGGGUGCGGAAGAGGGAAGCGGAAUUUCCGGUGUAGCGGUGAAAUGCGUAGAUAUCGGAAGGAACACCGGUGGCGAAGGCGGAUCUCUGGGCCGUAACUGACGCUGAGGAGCGAAAGCAUGGGGAGCGAACAGG